ensembl:lncRNA
GUAUAUUCUCUUUGUGAUGAUGUGUUAGAUACCAGAUUUUCUAUAUCAUUAAAUGUUAUGAUGCUUGAAAUGUGAACUAUUAGGUAUUGUCAAGCUGUAUAAUAUUGCUCUACAGUAAUUAUGCACUUGAAAAUAGUCUGUGUAGGGCUCCAACGUCCUGCUUAGAAAUAAGAUACAGUAAAAACGUAAAAUUGUGGUUAAUGUUAGAACCCAUGUUACUUUUAGGUUUGGGCAUUAGGGGUUGGGUUUAGGUGUUAGGUUAGGGUAAGGGUAAUGGUGAGGUGUAGGUUUAGAUUAUGUUUAGGCAUUGAGGUUAGGUCAUCAAUGUUACGUUUAGGGUUAGGUUUAGGUGUUAGGUUAGGGUAUGGGUAAUGGUGAGGUGUUAGGUUUAGAUUAUGUCAUCAAUGUUACGUUUAGGGUUAGGUUUAGGUGUUAGGUUAGGGUAUGGGUAAUGGUGAGGUGUUAGGUUUAGAUUAUGUCAUCAAUGUUACAUUUAGGGUUAGGUUUAGGUGUUUUUUUUUUUUCUGUUUGCCAGAAGGGUGGAAAAAACAGCGUGUGUCUAUGUGAGAGGGAGAAAGAGAAAAACAGAGUUUGUGUGCAAGCGUGUUUGUGUUUCUGUGAGUGUGUGUGUAGGAGUGUAAAACGGCACUGUUUGUUUGACUCCAGUGACUGAUAGUUACAAACUACAGCAGCCUGUUCACAUAAAAUAUUUCAUGGAUAAUUGAUGCACUUUGGACUUGAGAUGUGUCGCAAGUGGGUGUGUGUGUGUGUGUGUUUGUGUGUGUGUACAUGUGUGUGUGUGUGCAUGGCUGAUGGAGUUUGGACAAGACUUCUGGCAGACCACCAGGGAAAAUUAGCACAGCUCAACUCGUAGGCCUGGAAAUUCAACAUAUCAACCUGUAAGCUCAGUGCUCAGCUCCACUGCAAUAAACAGAGAUAUAAACAGUCAGCCACCCUCUCCCUUAUACAUAUACAGUAGUACACACUAGGGGAGCACGAUAUAUCGUUUCAGCAUCGAUAUAUGGAAAUAUUUUGGCUACAGACAGGAUGAUGCUGAUCAAAAAC